ensembl:snRNA U2 U2 spliceosomal RNA
AUCGCUUCUUGGCCUUUUGGCUAAGAUCAAGUAUAGUAUCAAAGUUCUUGGGUAUCCUUGCCUAACUGGAAUAUAAACAAAAAACAGGGAAAUGAAAAAUUAUUCAGUUUUCUUUUUUGGCCAUUUUCUUUACUGGACAUUUAGAACUCUUC